rnacentral:lncRNA from 1 species
CCACGAGCCGAAUUCGGAUUCUAACGGGUUCUAAUGAAAAAUGCAGGAGGAUCGGGGUCCAGUUCUCAGAAGAGGGGGCUGGGCUGCGCUGGGCUGGGCUGGUGUCUGGCUAACACAGAGGCUGAGGGAGGGAUGCGCUGGAAUGAACAUGUGGAGCGAGAAGAAGCCCAGACCAGUUAAUUGGUCUUCUGGCUAAUCACUGGGCGGAUUUCUGUCAUCCCUCUGAAUGUAAUCUAUCUGGAAAAUACUUCCUAUCUGGCUCCCAAACCACAGCAAGACCCAGCUGAAUAAUUGACCAAGACACUGCAGGUCUCAGAGAUUCAGCAGGAAUGCAGAUCAGCAAAUACAUCUUCUUAUUUAGUGACUUGGUAAAACUGAUGUUCCCUUGCUCAGAAAUGGUUAUAUUUUACAACCAACUUUUGUUAAUUGACUACUAUGAACACCCUUGUUAAAAUAUAAAUUGGCGUCAGAAACCUCGUGUACAGUUAGUCCUUGGGACCUCUGCCAAAUACAUCAGGUAGGUCCACGGAAUCCGAAAACCUCACAAGAUUCAACCAAAUCUGGCGAGCAUGGACUGUGCUUAAAUAGUGACGAGUACCAAACACCUGCGAAUAUUUAACCAAGAGGACUUGAUGUUGUCCAGCACCAGAGAAGAAGUGGCUCCUUAUGGAUGCCUCAGCGAGGCUGAUGUCACAGGUGGGUCCCGUUUC